rnacentral:rRNA from 1 species
AUGAACGCUGGCGGCGUGCCUAAUACAUGCAAGUCGAGCGAACAGAUGAGGAGCUUGCUCCUCUGACGUUAGCGGCGGACGGGUGAGUAACACGUGGAUAACCUACCUAUAAGACUGGGAUAACUUCGGGAAACCGGAGCUAAUACCAGAUAAUAUAUUGAACCGCAUGGUUCAAUAGUGAAAGACGGUUUUGCUGUCACUUAUAGAUGGAUCCGCGCCGCAUUAGCUAGUUGGUAAGGUAACGGCUUACCAAGGCGACGAUGCGUAGCCGACCUGAGAGGGUGAUCGGCCACACUGGAACUGAGACACGGUCCAGACUCCUACGGGAGGCAGCAGUAGGGAAUCUUCCGCAAUGGGCGAAAGCCUGACGGAGCAACGCCGCGUGAGUGAUGAAGGUCUUCGGAUCGUAAAACUCUGUUAUUAGGGAAGAACAAAUGUGUAAGUAACUAUGCACGUCUUGACGGUACCUAAUCAGAAAGCCACGGCUAACUACGUG